rnacentral:rRNA from 1 species
GCGUUUAGUCAUACCACCCUGAACGCACUCCAUCUCAUCGGAUGUUGGAGUCUAAGCAGGGCUCAGCCUGGCUGCUGGUUGGAUGAGAGAGAUUCUGAUCCAGUAGCUCUGGAAUGGGACUCU